UUCGUGGUCGGGUAAGGGAUACCGAAUGGGGCAGCUCAUCAGGAUUAAGGAUUUAUACAGUGUAUGUAGAGCAGAUUUACAAGUGGCCUGCAGGAACACGACCAGAGUAUAUAAGGGUAGAAGCAAGCGAACUAAAUGGCUUAUUGUUGUGGUAUGGACCGACUUUCGUCAUAUCCGGAAGUAAAGAUGGACUGAAACUUACAAAAAACUCUUGUGAUUACACAAAAACAUGGGACAGGAUUCCUAAUCGGGAGAAACCGAAUCUAUCGUGCAAUACGAAUUAACGACACUAAAUAGCAACCCUUUUAAAAUAACUCAGUUUGUGUUGAUCUAUUGAUAGCUUCAGUCAUAUCGAUGAGUUGUUUAAAAUAAAACU